rnacentral:rRNA from 1 species
UACAGAGGGGGCAAGCGUUGUUCGGAAUUACUGGGCGUAAAGGGCGCGUAGGCGGCCCGCUAAGUCGAACGUGAAAUCCCCAGGCUCAACCUGGGAACUGCGUCCGAUACUGGCAGGCUUGAAUCCGGGAGAGGGAUGUGGAAUUCCAGGUGUAGCGGUGAAAUGCGUAGAGAUGUGGAGGAACACCAGUGGCGAAGGCGGCUCUUUGGUCUGUAACUGACGCUGAGGCGCGAAAGCGUGGGGAGCAAACAGG